rnacentral:rRNA from 1 species
CGGGAAACCGGAGCUAAUACCGGAUAAUAUAUUGAACCGCAUGGUUCAAUAGUGAAAGACGGUUUUGCUGUCACUUAUAGAUGGAUCCGCGCCGCAUUAGCUAGUUGGUAAGGUAACGGCUUACCAAGGUAACGAUGCGUAGCCGACCUGAGAGGGUGAUCGGCCACACUGGAACUGAGACACGGUCCAGACUCCUACGGGAGGCAGCAGCA